UGCAAGUCGAACGGCAGCACAGGAUAGCUUGCUAUCCGGGUGGCGAGUGGCGGACGGGUGAGUAACGCGUAGGAAUCUACCUUUUCGUGGGGGAUAACCCGGGGAAACUCGGGCUAAUACCGCAUACGCCCUACGGGGGAAAGCGGGGGACCUUCGGGCCUCGCGCGGAAUGAUGAGCCUGCGUCCUAUCAGGUAGUUGGUGAGGUAAUGGCCCACCAAGCCGACGACGGGUAGCUGGUCUGAGAGGACGACCAGCCACACUGGGACUGAGACACGGCCCAGACUCCUACGGGAGGCAGCAGUGGGGAAUAUUGGACAAUGGGGGAAACCCUGAUCCAGCAAUACCGCGUGUGUGAAGAAGGCCUUCGGGUUGUA
rnacentral:rRNA from 1 species